UACGGGGGGAGCAAGCGUUGUUCGGAUUUACUGGGCGUAAAGGGCGCGUAGGCGGUCAGCACAAGUCAGUUGUGAAAUCUCCGGGCUUAACUCGGAAAGGUCAACUGAUACUGUGCGACUAGAGUGCGGAAGGGGCAACUGGAAUUCUCGGUGUAGCGGUGAAAUGCGUAGAUAUCGAGAGGAACACCUGCGGCGAAGGCGGGUUGCUGGGCUGACACUGACGCUGAGGCGCGAAAGCUAGGGUAGCAAACGGG
rnacentral:rRNA from 1 species